ACAAAACCUGAAUGAAUAACUAGUUUUAGGUACGACUUACUAAAACAGAGGGAUCAUAAAAGCUACAGAAGACGGGGUAAAAAGUGAGAGAAAGUCCAGUCCUAGCACUGUCGACGGGAUAUUGGGGGACUGCAGUAAAGAUAACAUUUUAGAUAACCAAGAUGUCAAUGACAGCUCAGAUAAAGAAGUAUACACGUUUUGGAUUGAACUUCUUUAGAGGCCGGAACAUCUAUGGCCAGGUUGGAGCUAUAGGAACUGCUGCAGUUUUAUUACUUGUUCUUAGAGAAGAGCUCCACUGGAGAAAAGAAAGUAGUGCAUCCCACUGUAAUUCUAGGCGAUGGCUGAAUAGAGGGGAACCGGUACAAAAGCCUGCAGCAGCAGUAACAACUUAGUGUGUGAAGAAAGUAUUUAUAUGUAGAUAACAUUGAAUGAUGUGUAAAUAAAUUUGUCAAACAAGAA